ACUUACCAUGCAGUUCUUGCCACCCUUCUAUGUCUACUUAAUUAUUCACUAAAUCUGUUUGUAGCCUCCUGUUCUUGGAGUUGGGUAAAGGAAUCAUAACAAAGACCCUUUAAAUAAGGCUUGCCAUCAUCGGAGAUACUGAAACACAAAGGCAAGCCCCAUUUAUGCCUUGGCUGGAAUCAUCCUGUCCUAUUUUCUGGCUAGUUAAUUGAUCACGCUCUGGAGAUUGGAGCCAGGUAAGUUGCAGGAAGAGGUCUGAGUCACUGACAGGGGGGCUGUGCAGUAAGCUGGUCUGAGAAUGAAUGCCACAGAGACUCAAUCAGGCAGAGAGCAGGAGGCUCCUGCAGGGCAACCUGAGAGGAAGCAGGGUGGUGCCAGACAGAGGGACAGCUGACUUCCAGCUUCCUCAGUAAUUUUGCUUAGGGCUGGCUUUGUGUGUGUGUAAAUCACUCAGAUAAUUGCUGUAAUUCUGUGCUUAGCUUGGCUGCUUAGACCCUGGGUUCAUGAAUAUUCAUGAGAUCUAUCCACACCACACUAUUACUUAAAAUUUCCUAGACAGCUUUCAUGCUGAGAGUGCCAGCUUGUUUGUGCUGAGAAGAAGAUGGCCAUGAUUUUCUCGUCUGAGUGGGAGUGAGCUGACUGUGGUCGGAUGCUUCCCUGACUGUCCACCGACGUAAUGGCAAGAAGUAGCUCGAUGUGUCCGCAUGGCACACUUCUCUGCAGUCUUCAUCCAGAUUUUUCCUUCUGUAUUUGCCUGAUCAAAACCUGCAUCAAGCACAGGGUCUCUGGCACCCAAGACAAGGUGACCAUGCAGUGGGUCCCAUGGUCCACUCAGGAGACAACGGGAUGGCCUAUCAGGAUAGCAAAGCAUGCAAAGGCUUUGGGCACUGUCUGCCAAGUCAAAAUGGGGUGCCUAAAACUAAGAAGGGCUGGCAAUUCAAGUGCAGCCAUGCUUGAGUCUUUAAAUGAACCCAUGUUAGAUAUGCCAUUUAUGGAGGAGAGUGAUCAUCUGCAAUGGGGAGAAGAGUUAUUGGAAUGUCAUUAUGUAUGUUUGCACACAUCGCCCUAUAGCUAGACAACUCCAUGGAUUUACUAUCGUGGACUUGAAGAGUGUGUGGUUCUGUCUGUGUUAAGGAGCUCCGGAAAGAUGGUUCUGAUGGAAGAGGCAUCAGAGUGGAUCAGAGAUAUGAGUCAUCUCCCAGUCAAGGAGCUGAAGAAAGCUGAGAUCUCUGGAGGAAGAUGACCACACUUGGAAUGCCUUUCUGAGGGUGUGAAGAGCAGAGACAUCUUCCUCCGGGUGAGAGACAUCAUCUGAAGGAGUACGGCAGAGACAUGGCUAUUUGAAAUAUAGACUCUUAACUAAGAAUUCUUUGGCCAUCCUGUUUUCCUGAAGGAAGGCUGGCUGGAUCUCAGCCUGUUGCACAGAGAUCAACCUGUCUGCUAAACCCGAGGCUCAGGAACUCUCUAGAAAUGGUUACUCUAUCACACCAUGCAAGAAACAACCUGAAUAAAAAAACUGCUUCUCUGUCCAUGGUUAUUCCCGAAGUGUGUGCUGGAGUCAAUGUGUUACAAUGAGUGAGAAUUCACAUUUGCACUUAGUGGUGUGCUCUGGGAGUUUGCAUGGUUGAGGAGAAAGUGGAGGAUCUAAAGGAUGCCUAGGACUGUGGAUGAAGUUAUACCUAAACAAGAGGCCUGGAAGACUGCUUUGAAAUAUAUUUAGAAGGGGAUACUAUGAGAUACUGGGCUAAUAUUACGCCUGCGCGAGUAAAGGGAUGAGGUAAAGAAGAAUAGCGUGUGGGCAAUGAUUCAGAUCCCACCUACCAGUAGAGCCCUUUGUGUUAUAGACAAGGGGAAGUCUUGUCUUGGUGAGUUUGAAUUUUCUUCAGACAUUUCAGUUGGGGUUACUGAGCCAUUUGUGAUUUUUCUUCAUUUGAAUUUCAAAGGAAAGACCAUGUUGGAGAUUUUGAUUUAGGGACCAUGAGACUAUAUAUUAUUAUUGAAGUCUGGGGGAAAGAAGUAAUCAUGAAUGACUCAAGAGGGGGCAUGGAAGAAGCUUGGAAUUGAGACGUGGAAGCACCACUGUAUAAAGGGAAAGGGGAGCUGGAGAGAUACUGCAGUGGGUAAAGUGCUUGCGUUGCAAGCAAAAGAAUCUGAGUCUUAUCUGCAGAACCCAUCGGGCAUGGCACACACCUGUAAUCCCAGCUCUGGAGAGGCAGGGGCAGGUAGAUGUCCCAGCACUCCCUUGAGAGUAUAGCUUAGUCCUGCCUACUUGAUAGCUUCCAAGUCAGUAAAAGAAUCUUAAAAAGCAAGGUAGAAGGCAUCUGAAGAAUGACCUCUGACAUAAGUAUGCAAACACACACACACACACACACACACACACACACACACACACACACACCCUACUGGGGUGAAAGUCAUGCAUGUAAAUUCCUGAGUUUUUACACAUAUACUGAGAAUGCUAACUUGAGCUCUCAGGCUUAUGCAUUAAGAGCUCUUACCCACAGAUUCAAUUUCCCAGUCCCUGUAGCUAUAGCUGUGUACUAGAGGCUCUAUAAACAUGUCCCCAAAGAUUUCUUAAUUGGUUGUCUGUUACAUUUUAUUGUAAAGACUGGGUGGGGGUACUUGUUAUUUUGUAUAUCAGAGGCUUGUUUAUCAAUCAGCAACCCCACCUGAAUUGAAAGAUCAGGCUUAACUACAGAGUACCUUGGGUACCCAUGACCUUAUGUGUGGUGUGCUGAAGUCCGCACUACAUCAUUUCCAUUGCACAGCUUUGCCUGGCAUGAAAAGUGCAUUUGAAUUCACACCCCCACUUAUCAAACCCCAUACUGUGUGCUGACAUAGCCCAGGGUGAACCAGAGUCCAUUGCCACUGCCUUUGCUCGUAACCAGUUUCACUUGAGCUUUUCCAAGGUCAAUAUCCCUCACUGGGAUUGGAGCUCCCAAUGGACAUGAGGUUUCAAAGAAUUCUACCAUGGGACACAAGCAAAUGAAUGAAAAUAGUCCUGGCUUGUUCACAAGGCAGGCUUCUGGGACCCAUCCCAGGUCUGUUGACUCUAGCUAGAUCCAGGAAAGCUUUGGGGGGGGUACCCAAGGCUUAGCUAUUCUGAAGCCUGUGUCUAAUCCAUAUUUUGAAACUUGCUGGUGUGCAGACUCACUUAGAGCCUGGAGCUUCACAGCUCUGUGAACAUUUGGCUUGCUUUGCGUUUCAUUUCCCAAAUUGUUCGCUCUUCUCCUCUUUCUUUGUCUUUCAGCACUGGAGAAUGUUCAGACUGUGAGAUUUGGUGUUGAAAAGGGUUGAUGCCAAUUGGAAUUUGUGUUAUUAUACUGUUUCAUGCACUUAAUUCCUGUUGAGACUUUAAGUGCGGGCAGCUGGAUCACUAUCCCAGGUGCAAUGUCUUACGAAAUGUUGACAUAUUUCCUGUCCAUGAGACAUGGAAGCCCAGCUGCAGUGGAGCCAACAAGUCCGCAGCUACAUUUUGCUACCCUUGGGUGGUGACCACCUCAGAAGAUAUGUAAACCCCAAAGCUGGCAGGGUGGGAGCAGUUGAGGGUCUCAGACAUACUCUCUAGGGCUCGAGCAACUGGAAGAAAGAAUGCUUUCUUCUAGAUUAGACAUAUUCAAAUUUCAAAUAUUGUAUCUUAGGAAAAAACAGAGGCAGUGCAGAAGCUUAACGACCCACAGAAAUGCCUAUGGAAACCACAGAGGAUUUACAGGAGAAUGGAGAGUCUAGGUCUAUGUGGCUCUUUUUGGGAUUUCCCCGGCCUCCAAAGCUAAAGUCUAUCGGUCUUCAAGAUUUCUGUCUCUCCUAAUCAUUUAAAACCUCAUCACUUCAGUAUCAGUAAUGACGAAUUGGCCUUUUCUAUUUUAGUGAGAAAUUUGUUAUAUAUUCAUAGCUGGGAGGGGGUAUGUAAUCUGAGUUAGGGAUAAAGGACAGUCACAUAGAUGACCAAAAGUUCCAUGGCUAAAGAUAAGGUGAAAAAUUUCAUGAAAGAAUGAGUCCUGAGUGUCAGAAAAGAUACACCUAGGUUCUUGCCAGGACCCAAAAGAUAGAGACAGAAGGGAAGAAAAAUAAAAUGUUAUAGGAGGACUCAGUAAGGUAGGAAAAGCCAACAGAACCUCAUGGCAGCUGUCUUAGUAACUUAUCUGUUGCUGCGAAAAAGCACCAUGGCCAAAGCAACUUACAGAAGAAGCCGUUCAUUUGGGCUUAUAGUUGCAGAGGGUUAAAAUUCAUGAUGGCGGAGUGGAAUCCUGGUGACAGGAAGCAGGUAUGGUGAGUGGGGAGCUGAGGAGGACACACAUCUUGAACCACAAGCAAGAAACAGAAAGAAAGAGAGCAGGCUAAAGGGAGAGUCUUUUAAACACCCAGAGUGCUUCCCCAGUGACACACUUCCUCUAGCAAGGUCACGCCUCCCAAACCUCCCAAAUAGCCAUUGGUAUGGCACUGGGUACUCAAAUACAGGAGCCGACUGGGGACAUCUUUUCAUCUAUUUCCAACAACGACAGCAGCUCAUGUGGGUUGCGCUGGAAGUAGGGAAUUCUGACAAGGAAAGAUAUAUUAUCUCAUUAAAGAGAUAAUUAUUCUUCCAAUUUCUCAAGCAUGAAUUAAUCCAAUUGGGCAGUUCCAGCAGCUGGCAAAGGGACCACCCCCGAGGAAAGCUGGGCAACCCUUAGGAAGGUGGAUCUUCUAUGAACUAGCUUUUAAUAUGUGUGAAUUUGAGCCUGCAGAGGGGCUUCAUAAGCUAAAAUCCUGUCACUAACUUAUAAGAGGCUGUGGUGGUACAAAUACCUGAACACCUAGAGCUGAUUGUGUUGCUGAGUGCAGAGCAGGAAUGUGCCCCUCGGUGCUGUCACUGGAUUAGAGAUUAGAGUGAAGGGAAUCCUGGAGCUGCUGCUUCUGUUUCUAUUAUUGCUUUUGUUGUCAACCCUAGGGGGGAAAAAAAAAUAAAACAACCUAGCACAUUGUGCUGAACUUAAAUUUAGCCUUCUCCUUUGAAAUCAAAUGAUGGUCAUGAAUGCUGGAAUUUUGUGUUCAGAAAAUUCCUGUCUAUGAUUCAUGUUGCUAAAAGUGUGCUUUUCCAGCUUAGAAUUUAGCUCCAAUCUAUGGAAGAAGUAAGAAGUAGCCAUGCUGAGCUCUUAUCACCAAGGAAAGUUCCCAAGACCACACUGCGCCACCAGCCUCAUUCUCCACUGGCAAACUUUCUUCAAUAGAAGCCAUUGUGGAAUCUGUAUGCUGAUGGAAAUCCUGCAAGCGCGACACUUACCUCAAAUCAACACUGGUAUUUGUAGUCAUGAUACUCCAGUCAAGGCACGGCUUCCUUAUUAAUAAGAAUUCAGUGAACUAGAGAAUAGAUAAUCGCAAUGAUAUGUUCUCCUUUAAAUCACAAUGCCAUUGGUUCUGAGAGUAAAGGAGUGGGUUUUGUUGUGUUUUGUUUUGUUUUGUUCGAGAGUAAAUUUGCUUUCUCCUACAAGUGAGUUCAGAGCAAAGGCUGUAUCUGUGCAACUGUGUUAACUUCUCAUUUUAAAUAAUGAAAUUGUUGCUGCUCUUGCUUAUUCUCAGGUCCCAAUGCAGUUGCUUCCAUUCUCAGCCAAGAACAUCAUUAUUAGGCUGGUAAGGAAAAACCAUUGCACUCAUAGGCUGGAGGAAGCAGAGGAGGGGAGGUCCAAGCUAUCAGCUCCAUGGGUUAGUGCCACAGCUAAUGCUCUGAGCUCCUACUUCCUGGUGCCUUUUGCUUCCUACAGCCUUGAUCAGCUCAACUCUCAGGUGAGGGUGGGGGGAGGGGACUUUUUAUAUCUAUAGAGGCAGUUUCUGUGAAGAGGUGCUGUGACCUGUAGCACCUCUGUGACCAUGUCUGAGACCCCCUGCUCUUAAGAGUUCAUUAGGAAACCAUGAAGCAGGAGGCAGCUUCUCCAGUUCCCCCUAUGUAUUUUGAAUCCUUGAUAAUCCAGCUGUGGAUGAGGUGCAGGGGACUGGCAGGUUCCUGAUGGAUGCUUUCCGCAUCGUAAUUCCUCAGCCCAUAGCUCAUCAGACCCAGAAGGGAUUGCCCCUGAGAGCCAUUCAGGGCUGAAUAAGCCCUGGCUCAUAGCACAGGUGGGCUCCCCAUAUUAGAAGUGAGGUCCCUAUUCUGCCCAUGAGAGAGCUAUUGGUGCUGGGACCAUUUCAUGGCACAGCUGUUCUGGAAUAAACCUGUGUUUUAAUCUCGGAGCUAUUCCUAUCUCUCCCUCUGCCCAUUUGGGAAUGUGUCUCUUUAAAAAGGGCACAGAACUGAACACUUUAGAUUCUAACUGCAAAUGCUAUUUCUACUAAGUACAUGUAUAUCCUCUCUUCAUUUUUAUUUAUGUCCUUGUUUCCGAGGAAUAAUCAGUUUGAGACUCAUCAACACAAUAAAACCCAGAGAGACAGCCAGAGGCAAAUUCAGUUUGGGGGGUGGGGGUGGGUUUAGAAAAGACCCAUCAUCUCCAAGCCCCUCGAUUCGUAUUUAUCUCUUCUUGUAAGGCACAAUACCAGGAAGCUCAUGCAAUCCCUGGAAAGAAGCUCUUGAUACAGAAUGACAAGGCUCUGUGCCUCCAGGGGUCUUCGAUCAUAGAUUUUCAUCAUCAUCUGAAAUGGUCCCUCUCCUCCUCUCUGCUUGGCACUCACUCUCCCAAAGAGAGGAGACAGGCUUCCCAUAGGGGCCACCCAAACUCAUUCUGCUCAGCAAAGGCUCAUCAUGGGCUUCCUCAUUUCUCUGGGCGAGCAAGCUGCUUGCCUCUCCUCCCCUCCAGGCUACUAGCCAGGCUGAAGGGAAGCCUGCCAGGGUGCACAGGGAAGCUCCCACAGUGGGGUGGGCUGCUCCCUCCCAGGGACUGUUGUCCUGUGCAGUUGUGUGUGUGUGUGUGUGUUGCUUUCUCCAGUCUGCUCUUAAUCAUGUUGGUAUUAAAAAUGGAUUCCGAGGAGCAUUCCCCAAAGGAGUUUGUUGUGCUCACUACUCUUCUGCUUUGAAGAGAGCCCCACCAUCCUUGUAUCCAGCCUCCCCAAGCAGCCAAGCCGACAGAACAGGGACGGCUGUAGUUCUAGACUCGGGCAGACUACCAACAGCUGCACAGUUAAUUAUGGCGCUCUCCCUCUCUUUAAAAAAAUCUCAGCUUUAGAAAUGAAAGAUAAGAAAUUCUUUGGAGUAAUUAGAGACUGCUGAGCGCUCAUGGUAAUAAUGAGGGACUACUUUCAGACUGAUUCACAGCAGGAAGAGGCAGGGAGAGUCGGUGAUGCAGGUUAAAAAAAAAUAAUUAAAAUCAGCUUUGCUACUAUCUCGGCGGAGCUGUCAGUCAGCCUCAGAGAGAAAAGAAUUGCUAAUGAAAUAUUAAUAUGCCGCCUUGGAUUUCCCAUAACCGCCUUUGUUCCCAGGUACUGUUCCCAUUUGUAAGGCAAAGGGGUUAGGUGUGAAAGGGCACGGGAGCCAGCUUGGUCAAGGAGGAAAUGAGAACUCUCUGACAUGGAAAACACUUGGCCUCAGAAAGGAUGCACUGGAGCCUAGUAGGAGCAGCCUGCAACCUGGUCCCAGCCUGGAGCCUGGCCACACUGCCCCAGCUGCUGUGUGCUUGAAGGAGCAACGCCUUCGCCCCCUCCCCAUCCCCCGCCUCUCUCCCCAACCCAGGUUGACAGACACUGAAUGUCAGCAAUCAUCAUGGCACAACCAGUGCAAGUUUUAUAAUAUCUCUAAGUGGUUUUGAAGUCUGCAGAUGCCAGACGGUUUCAAAAUCUCACAGAAAUUGUAUCGUGCAGGUUGUCUUCAGACAAGACGCAGCCCCCGAUGUCUUUUUGUUCCAUUAAGUCAAUCACUCAGAGCUAUGAUACAAACUAUAUGACAGGGUUGGGAAGCCUUGUGUGUGAAGAUGUGUGUGCAUGAAUAUGCUUAUAUGUGCCUUGUGUGAGCAUAUCCUGAAAUCACCCCAGCAUUCAAAGGUUCUUCAGAAGCUUGAAAUACAUUCUGUGAGAAAUGGUUCAGAUACCCACUGUGUGUCAGAGUGUGUCCAGAAGCUGAAAUGCCAAAAAGGUGAGGACUGGUCACACAGAGCCUGCAGCAGGGAUACCCAUGAGAAGCCUUUCUUAAGGGUGCAUCUUGGUUUUUUGCCUAGCUUCAAUGAAAUCUGGGAGACUAAGGAAGAGCAUCUGAGGGAAAUACUGGGUGAUUUUAUCUGAAGUUGGACACAAGGCAAAUAAGAUAUGCAUGGCAAGUGGAAAUGGCAAUGCUAACAACAAUAAUAAUUGUAAUAAUAAACUUUUAAGCCUGAGGACAGAAGCCAGUGAUAGCUUAGUUCCAGCACUGUCUCCUGGAGCUGGCUUCUCAUCACUGUGAAAUGAACAGAGGCUCCCUCAGUCCUGUUGGAGUCUGUGAUCUGAGCAGAUUUGUUUGUUUGUUUGUUUGUUUUGUUUUUUGAGACAGGGUUUCUCUGUGUAGCCCUGGCUGU